GAUGAACGCUGGCGGCGUGCCUAAUACAUGCAAGUCGAACGCACAGCGAAAGGUGCUUGCACCUUUCAAGUGAGUGGCGAACGGGUGAGUAACACGUGGACAACCUGCCUCAAGGCUGGGGAUAACAUUUGGAAACAGAUGCUAAUACCGAAUAAAACUUAGUGUCGCAUGACACAAAGUUAAAAGGCGCUUUGGCGUCACCUAGAGAUGGAUCCGCGGUGCAUUAGUUAGUUGGUGGGGUAAAGGCCUACCAAGACAAUGAUGCAUAGCCGAGUUGAGAGACUGAUCGGCCACAUUGGGACUGAGACACGGCCCAA
rnacentral:rRNA from 1 species